CCAGAGGCUGACGCCCCUGGCUAUUCCAUGCCGCCCUUUCAGGGCU
rnacentral:sRNA from 1 species